AUAACGACUCUCGGCAACGGAUAUCUCGGCUCUCGCAUCGAUGAAGAACGUAGCGAACUGCGAUACUUGGUGUGAAUUGCAGAAUCCCGUGAACCAUCGAGUCUUUGAACGCAAGUUGCGCCUGAAGCUUUUAGCCGAGGGCACGUUUGCCUGGGUGUCACA
rnacentral:rRNA from 3 species